GCAGCCCGGGGCUUUGGUGCAGCGCCGUGCGCGCUGGUUUGUCUCCGCGUUUCCUGACACGGGCGCUCACGGGUGGACGUGGACUCGCCUCCUCGGGGACUUUGGGCGCGCAAGGAGCCUUCUGGAGCCGCGGGGGACCCGUCCCCAGUGUGCGCCCAGUUUGAAAUAAUUUCAAACCUACAAGACAGCUGCAAAAAUAAUGCAAACUCUGAGCAGAGAAGCCCAGCACCCCCGUCCCCUCGAGAACUGAAGCUCUGCGAGGCCAGGCCCUGCUGUCUGGUUCAUCCGCGAUGUCUGCCCAGCCCGGGCCCAGCGUCUGGCAUCUGGUGGCCGCCUGUGAGCUGCGCGUUGAGCGGGUAAGAGCCGGACAGCACGGGCGUCCACUGGGCCCUGCCCGCCCUGGGAGGGGAGCGCAGCCCCCGGGGCCUCUCUGCCCGCUGGUUCCGGCGCCGCCUGGUGACACCUGGUGCAUCUGCCCGGGGACCCGCCCCACGUCCCACCUGAGGGAGGCCCCGUCCCCUGGCGUGUGUGGGACAGGGUCUGCUUGUUCCCAAUCCAGUGGCCCCGCCUUGAGUUAGGGCGAGGGUUAGGGGAGGUAGAGGUGGAGGGUUCAUUUGCGAGGGAGACAGGGUGACAGUCGAGGCUACUGCGAGGAUGAUGAUGAUGCAUCACAAAACCUUCUUGUGUCCACAUCGAUGGAAACCGCAGGAGUCCGACUUGGAGCAGGAGAUCUGGGGUCCCCCAGGCCCGCAGGUCUGGUCUGGAUCCUGUAGUGCUUCUUGGUGUGGGAACAUCCUGAGGAUUUCUCAAGUCCCCUCAGGUACCAGCCCGCCCGGGAGGCUCAGGGAAGAUGCCCCGUGUUGCUCGGGGGGAAUCCCGGGGACCGCUCAGAGGAUGAGCCUCUGGAUAGUUUUCAAAAUCCCACUCCGUGGCCUGGACUAGACACUGCUAACGGGAGAGGCUGGGGAGGCCUUUCCUGGCCCCGCCUCUGAAACCUGCGGAGGACCCUCAGAUCCCGCACCCCAGCACCUGCAGGGAGGCCUUGGUGCGGUGCCUCCUGAUCAGCAGACGGCCCUGCCGGGAUCCCGUGGUCUCAGGGCCCUUCUGAAAGUAUUUUCACAGGCUCCUUCAGCUCCUGGGGUCUCCAUGAACCUGCUUUGAACAUGGAAGGGGCCGGGUGGACCUGAACUGAGCAGGUAGGUGGGUUGUCAGGGCGGAGAUAGUGCUUGGAGGCACCUUCCUCAGGCCUCGGGCCCAGCGGCCCCAUCAGCACCUGGACCGGGAGGUCGGCGCUCGCGAGGCUCUCCGGCGGGGGAAGAACCUUCCACCCACCUGAGUGGGUACAUGCAGAGCAGGGGGUCCUGCAGCACCUGGGCGAGACCUGCCUGGAAUCCAUAUACCGCCUCAGAGGCAGCGCCCCGUCUUCACCUGCCCAGGCCUGGACUCCUGCAGGGUUGAGCAUCCGCACCCCACUCCCAGGGCCAGGCCUGCACCUGUGCAUAAGCGCAGGGAGCCCCUUGCGCCAGGAGCCGGCCGCGUGGGCCAAUGAGGAGCCCAGGUGUCCUGCCUCGGGGGGGGGGCUGCUGGAAGCCAGUGAUUAGUGUCUGUUGGUGCUUUGAGGGAGGGGCGGCUGCCAAGAACAGUGAGCUCCAGGUGGGGUGAGGCUGCAGGGCCGCCAGGUAGGUGGGGCCGGGGGCGAGGGGAAGCCGCCCCCGUGCUGCUCUCUGCCCUGACUGCGGGAGGGAUGGAGGAGGAGGACGGAGCUGCCGCCACGUCACCUGCCACCACUUCACCUGCCACACCUGUCACCUGCCACACCUGUCCUGAUGCACGGCGCCAGCCUCUAGGGGAAGCUCAGCUGUGGCCGGGACCUCCUGCGCGAGCUCCGCCUUCAUGGCCAGAGCAGAGCGAUCCUGUUCAGACCUAAGUGAGCUCCUGGGCCUUUGCACACGGUAGACCGUCGGGUUCACGCUUGCACUGGACGCCAAGGACCCGUUGUCCUUCUUUAUUUAAACGUUACAGUAUUUACAGUUCCAGCCCCCCCCCCCCAUCCUGCUUCCCUGUUCACUUUUUCCCGUAGGACUCAUUACCUUCCAAUAAACUAUAUUAUUUACUUA